rnacentral:rRNA from 1 species
UUGAACGCUGGCGGCAUGCUUUACACAUGCAAGUCGAACGGUAACAGGCCGCAAGGUGCUGACGAGUGGCGAACGGGUGAGUAAUGCAUCGGAACGUGCCCAGUCGUGGGGGAUAACUACUCGAAAGAGUAGCUAAUACCGCAUACGAUCUAUGGAUGAAAGCGGGGGACCGUAAGGCCUCGCGCGAUUGGAGCGGCCGAUGUCAGAUUAGGUAGUUGGUGGGGUAAAGGCUCACCAAGCCAACGAUCUGUAGCUGGUCUGAGAGGACAACCAGCCACACUGGGACUGAGACACGGCCCAGACUCCUACGGGAGGCAGCAGUGGGGAAUUUUGGACAAUGGGCGCAAGCCUGAUCCAGCAAUGCCGCGUGCAGGAAGAAGGCCUUCGGGUUGUAAACUGCUUUUGUACGGAACGAAACGGCUCUGGUUAAUACCCGGGGCUAAUGACGGUACCGUAAGAAUAAGCACCGGCUAACUACGUG